GAGGUCCAGAAGGUGCUCGGAGGAAGGGACUUGCCCAGGUCACCAGGUGGCGGGACUAGGAUGCCCUCGCAGUCCCUGGCCGGGAGUGCAGCGUUUCUUUUGCCCCACGGGGGAUCCUCUGUCCCGCCAGGUGUUCUGGGUGCUGCUGGGGGGCACCCAAGGCUAAGAAAGAUGGUGGCACCUCCAAGUCUCAGUGGCCCCAUCCUGAGCCCUGCACACGCACGACCUCAUCGAACCCUGCAGACAGCUGGGCAGGUGAAUACCUCUGACCCCACCUUCCAGGAGCACAGGAUGGGCGUGGACCAGACAGUUCGUGAACAGGACUGAGAGACGAAAGACCCUUCUCCUGGGUGUUACCUCUGACAUCUUGCUUGUUAGAACUGGAGAGAGAAAAAAAUGGACCCCAGGAAUGGAGCUGCAGGGACCCUGGAAAAAGGGGACACCAUCACACCACCGUUGAGUUCUGUCAACUGUCAAGUUAAUUAGAACGAAAUUAAAAACACAUUUGCCAAGAUGUUCCGCAGCCAAACCAGUUAAAUAGAGAUUUUAACAAAAUUGAAAGCAUAUUAUACUGAGAUUUGUGGAUCCUGGCCCGGUGAGUGAGUGCUGAAAGUGUGAUAAAAUAACAAAAUUGCUGCCUAAUAAUCUAUAGAAUAAUAUUGUCAACUAAUGGAUUAUAAUAAAAUAAAAGCUGUUAUUAGGGUAAAACAU
ensembl:lncRNA